rnacentral:lncRNA from 1 species
CUCAUAUGCAGACACUAUUCAACAAUGCAGAUACAUUUUGUUUCAGCUCAGCUUCACUGUGAUUUGAAUUUGUUUUACUUCAUCUCUGCUUGCUCCUGAUGGUAUACAAAUACAGCAGUUUAAUGCAGGUAAAAUUAUAUCCCUUUUGGCGUGGUACAGCAAAGAACAUGCAAAUCUUCUGUUAUAUGGUGUCUGGUGGCUGAACUAAUCCAGGCAGAGGAAUAACAUAUCAUGUAGAUGCUCAGCAGUUUCUGUAACUCAUAAAGUUAUUUCAAUUUUUGCAUAGCUGCAGCAUGAGCCUGGCAGAACAGAGACCUAAAUCUUUCAUUCUAUAUAUUCCCAUCAUAGUAUUAGCUAGAUAGAAAGCAAAUGGUGAAUUUGUUUCUUCUCAAGGCUCUGAGAAAACUCACAAAACUGCCCACCAACCAGUUGCUACAUAAAGUGCUAUAAUUUCAAAAACUAACAUUGGUGCUAGCACUUUCUCCCUGUGUGAUCUUGUUCAUUUGAUGCACUUCAUCUUUACCAGAAGGGUUAGAAACUGGCUUAAUUCAUCCAGGUGCUAAUCACUGUGCUGAACAGACUUAGCUAUUAUAUAUUAAACUUCUUGCACCUGUCACUACAUUUUCUACAACUUGCAACAAAUAACUCUGGAACUCUCUAGCUUUUUAAUGCUGUAUAAUCUACUUUUUUGUCAGUUGUAGUGUUGUUCACCUAAACCAUGAAAGUAUUCAGUAUCUGCGAUCAUUGGGCUGUUUUCUCUAAGGAGCUGGGACUAUCCCUUAAAGCUUAUAGGAAGGUGGAGCUAUUCUUCCUGAUGGGACUGUUCUCAAGGUAGGGCUGCUCCCAGGGUUGAAGAGGUACAGUACUCUACAAUUGGGUGUACACUACCGGGUGUGCAGAGAUGUUGCUUUGUAUUUACCUGACUGAAGGCCAGCUAUACUGUUAAUGCAUAUGACUAGUUAAAAGGCAGUUUUUCAGACAUAUUUUUCCACACUGGGAUAUGCCAUUGAUACAUCAGAAGGUAUGUAACCAUCUAACUCUGAACGUGGAAAUCAGAGUGUGUACUUUGACCCGGUGUAUGGAUAAUAUAAGAAUCUAGAAUGUCUAAACAUGUGGAUGCCAUGCCUUACAGUGCUCUUUGUAGCUGCUGAGAAUCAACCAGACUUUCUGAAAUGACAUUCAUGUCU